rnacentral:misc_RNA from 1 species
AAUUCAUUGAUCUUAUCCUGCAGACUCUCAUUUGAAUCCUUCAGCUUCUGAGCUUCAUCCUUUAGCUGAUUCACCAUUUUCAAAGCAUCAGCCAAUAUGACAGAUUUGUCCAUUUUAGGAGGCCUCCCCGGAUCCAGAAGAGCACCCAAUUCCAUAAAUCUGGAGACAAAUGUCAAAAUCAAUAAUGGGAGAGAGUCAUAGACACACAGAAAGAAAAAGAAUUAAAGCACUUGAGCAUGCCUAUCAUUUAGCCUAUCUCUCCGCAUUUUCUCUCUACAUGCCUUGGAACCAAGAGCAUUGCACGAUCUAGGCCUCACCCUGUUAAACAAAAUUAGUGUGACAAGAAAAUUAGGAGAAAGGAAACAAAAACCUAGUGAAUUACCAACAAAGAAUUAGCAGACACAAUUAUAAUUUGAAGAAACCAUUCUAUCAAUGCUUAGCAGAGAAAUGUAAUUCCUACACCCUGGAAAACAUGACUAUGAAGAAAUAAAUAAAAGCUAUUUUUCAUUCACCAACUGUAAAAAGGGUAAAAGUAGCUAGUACCGUUUUCGAGAUCCACUAUCUUUUAGACCAUCAGAAUUCGCAUACGAGCCAUCAAAAUCCAUUCUAAAAAAAAUAAACAAAAUCAGUAUUUAUGUUGAACAAUGAAAUUGAUUUAUUUACACCAUACAGACAUGCCAGAUUGUUAAUUAGAUAAUUUGAAAGAUUUGUGUAAAUAGAACAUGAGCAAAAACUUGACAGAUAUAGCACCGUUGAUAUAAUCACCAUCCUAAUUCCCAUUCUCUCAUGAAUAACUUGACAGAAAUCCUCCAAUGUUUCUAAUAUAAUGCUAGAAAGAAAAUUAAAAACUUCCCUCACAUUGUGGAAUUAGGUGAUGAUAUUGCCACAAUCCCAAAGAAAAGAUGACCCACAUAGCUGGGGGGCAAGCUAGCUAGAUAUUUCAAUGGGUUCCUUUUUUCAGUCACAAAAAUAACUAGACACCAUUAUAGGGGAUUGAAUUAGCAUCUCCCAGUUCAAGAAGGAACAACUGAGUGAACCAUUUGACUACAGACUAUAGGCGUAGUCAGUGUACCUAACCAACAUUCUAGAGUCAAUAAAUAGCAUACCAUUUUAGAUUCGACAAACAGAGGGGAAAAAUUAAAAUAAAUAUGGUAAAAAAACUGCAUGGUAACGAUUGCUACAACCAAUAAUGAAACAAAUUGCGUAUAACCCAUCAUAUAAUAUCAAUGAAAUUUCACAAAAUGCACUGCAUUACACCAAAUACAACUCCCACCAAUGUUUUAGAAAUGAAUAUUGCCAAUUAAAGGACAUGAAGAAAAGAAAUACGGAAGCACCUUAGAGAAGCAUUAUUAGUGAAGGAAGGAGAAGACCAGAGUGCUCCAGGGGGAUCAAGAGAAGGGAGGUCACCUCCAGGGACAGUAA